UACGUAGGUGGCAAGCGUUGUCCGGAUUUAUUGGGCGUAAAGCGAGCGCAGGCGGUUUCUUAAGUCUGAUGUGAAAGCCCCCGGCUCAACCGGGGAGGGUCAUUGGAAACUGGGAGACUUGAGUGCAGAAGAGGAGAGUGGAAUUCCAUGUGUAGCGGUGAAAUGCGUAGAUAUAUGGAGGAACACCAGUGGCGAAGGCGGCUCUCUGGUCUNGUAACUGACGCUGAGGCUCGAAAGCGUGGGGAACAAACAGGAUUAGAUAC
rnacentral:rRNA from 1 species